rnacentral:rRNA from 1 species
AUUGAACGCUGGCGGCAUGCCUUACACAUGCAAGUCGAACGGCAUCACGGGUGCUUGCACCUGGUGUCGAGUGGCGAAAGGGUGAGUAAUACAUCGGAACAUGUCCUGUAGUGGGGGUUAGCCCUGCGGAAGCCGGAUUAAUACCACUUUCUACUAACGCAGCAAACGGGGGGACUUCCGGACGUCGGCCUGUGGGGUUGGCCGCUGUAUGAUAUGCACCCAGGUGGGAUGAGGUCGUUGGAAGGGUAAAGGCCUAACAAGGCGACGAUCAGCAGCCGGUCUGAGAGGAAGAACAGGCACACGGGGACUGAGAAACGGCCGAGACUCCUACGGGAGGCAGCAGUGGGGAAUUUUGGACAAUGGGCGAAAGCCUGAUCCAGCAAUGCCGCGGGUGUGAAGAAGGCCUUCGGGUUGUAAAGCACUGUUGUACGGAAAGAAAUCCUUGGCCCUAAUACGGUCGGGGGAUGACGGUACCGGAAGAAUAAGCACCGGCUAACUACGUG